rnacentral:rRNA from 1 species
UACGUAGGGUGCGAGCGUUAAUCGGAAUUACUGGGCGUAAAGCGUGCGUAGGCGGUUCGUUAAGUUCGUUGUGAAAGCCCCGGGCUCAACCUGGGAACUGCAAUGGAAACUGGCGGGCUUGAGUGUGGCAGAGGGGGGUGGAAUUCCGCGUGUAGCGGUGAAAUGCGUAGAUAUUGGGAGGAACACCAGUGGCGAAGGCGGCUCACUGGACCGGUUCUGACACGU